rnacentral:rRNA from 1 species
GAGUUUGAUCAUGGCUCAGGACGAACGCUGGCGGCGUGCUUAACACAUGCAAGUCGAACGAUGACGAUGGUGCUUGCACCGUCUGAUUAGUGGCGAACGGGUGAGUAACACGUGAGUAACCUGCCCUCCUCUUCGGGAUAACCGCCGGAAACGGUGGCUAAUACCGGAUAUGAAUGCCUGCCGCAUGGUGGGUGUUGGAAAGAUUUAUCGGUGGGGGAUGGACUCGCGGCCUAUCAGUUUGUUGGUGAGGUAAUGGCUCACCAAGGCGAUGACGGGUAGCCGGCCUGAGAGGGCGACCGGCCACACUGGGACUGAGACACGGCCCAGACUCCUACGGGAGGCAGCAGUGGGGAAUAUUGCACAAUGGGCGAAAGCCUGAUGCAGCGACGCCGCGUGGGGGAUGACGGCCUUCGGGUUGUAAACCUCUUUCAGCAGGGAAGAAGCGAGAGUGACGGUACCUGCAGAAGAAGCGCCGGCUAACUACGUGCCAGCAGCCGCGGUAAUACGUAGGGCGCAAGCGUUGUCCGGAAUUAUUGGGCGUAAAGAGCUUGUAGGUGGCUUGUCGCGUCUGC